rnacentral:rRNA from 1 species
GCCUCGCAAGAGGAAUUCGGAGACAGGUGCUGCAUGGCUGUCGUCAGCUCGUGUCGUGAGAUGUUGGGUUAAGUCCCGCAACGAGCGCAACCCUUGUCUUUAGUUGCCAUCAUUAAGUUGGGCACUCUAAAGAGACUGCCGGUGUCAAACCGGAGGAAGGUGGGGAUGACGUCAAGUCCUCAUGGCCUUUAUGACCAGGGCUACACACGUACUACAAUGGCAGGUACAAAGGGCAGCCACUUAGCGAUAAGGCGCGAAUCCCGUAAAACCUGUCUCAGUCCGGAUUGGAGUCUGCAACUCGACUCCAUGAAGUUGGAAUCGCUAGUAAUCGCAGAUCAGCACGCUGCGGUGAAUACGUUCCCGGGCCUU